CCUACGGGAGGCAGCAGUGGGGAAUAUUGCACAAUGGGGGAAACCCUGAUGCAGCGACGCCGCGUGAGUGAAGAAGUAUUUCGGUAUGUAAAGCUCUAUCAGCAGGGAAGAAGAAAGACGGUACCUGACUAAGAAGCCCCGGCUAACUACGUGCCAGCAGCCGCGGGAAUACGUAGGGGGCAAGCGUUAUCCGGAAUUACUGGGUGUAAAGGGAGCGUAGACGGCUGUGCAAGUCUGAAGUGAAAGCCCAGGGCUCAACCCUGGGACUGCUUUGGAAACUGUGGAGCUAGAGUGCUGGAGAGGUAAGUGGAAUUCCUGGUGUAGCGGUGAAAUGCGUAGAUAUUAGGAGGAACACCAGUGGCGAAGGCGGCUUACUGGACAGUAACUGACGUUGAGGCUCGAAAGCGUGGGGAGCAAACAGGAUUAGAUACCCUGUAGUC
rnacentral:rRNA from 1 species